rnacentral:rRNA from 1 species
AAUGAACGCUGGCGGCAGGCCUAAAACAUGCAAGUCGAGCGAGCGGCGGACGGGUGAGUAAUGUCUGGGAAAAUGCCUGAUGGAGGGGGAUAACUACUGGAAACGGUAGCUAAUACCGCAUACCAUCAGAUGUGCCCAGGUGGGAUUAGCUAGUAGGUGGGGUAGAGGCUCACCUAGGCGACGAUCCCUAGCUGGUCUGAGAGGAUGAACAGCCACACUGGAACUGAGACACGGUCCAGACUCCUACGGGAGGCAGCAGUAGGGAAUCUUGCACAAUGGGCGCAAGCCUGACGCAGCCAUGCCGCGUGUAUGAAGAAGGCCUUCGGGUUGUAAAGUACUUUCAGCGGGGAGGCGGUACCCGCAGAAAAAGCACCGGCUAACUCCGUGCCAGCCGCCGCGGUAAUAC